rnacentral:rRNA from 1 species
AUUGAACGCUGGCGGCAUGCCUUACACAUGCAAGUCGAACGGAUUUUGGGGCUUGCUCCAAAGUUAGUGGCGAACGGGUGAGUAAAGCAUCGGAACGUACCCAGUCGUGGGGGAUAACGUAGCGAAAGUUACGCUAAUACCGCAUACGAUCUGAGGAUGAAAGCGGGGGACCUUCGGGCCUCGCGCGAUUGGAGCGGCCGAUGUCGGAUUAGCUAGUUGGUGAGGUAAAGGCUCACAAAGGCGACGAUCCGUAGCUGGUCUGAGAGGACGACCAGCCACACUGGGACUGAGACACGGCCCAGACUCCUACGGGAGGCAGCAGUGGGGAAUUUUGGACAAUGGGCGAAAGCCUGAUCCAGCCAUGCCGCGUGAGUGAAGAAGGCCUUCGGGUUGUAAAGCUCUUUCAGACGGAAAGAAAUCUUUCGGGUGAAUAUCCCGGAAGGAUGACGGUACCGUAAGAAGAAGCACCGGCUAACUACGUGCCAGCCGCCGCGGUAA